GUCCACUGCCCGCCGACGGCAGCGGAGCCGGGGACCCAACCGACCUUGGGGUGAAUCGGCCCAACUCCCUGACGGGAGACGGCCGUAGGGCAAACCUUCCGAACCACCCGCCCGAACCCGACAGCUAACUCGGUAGGCGGAGCAUGGAAGGAGU
rnacentral:sRNA from 2 species